rnacentral:rRNA from 1 species
UACGUAGGUGGCAAGCGUUGUCCGGAUUUAUUGGGUUUAAAGGGUGCGUAGGCGGCCCUGUAAGUCAGUGCUGAAAUAUCCCGGCUUAACCGGGAGGGUGGCAUUGAUACUGCAGGGCUUGAGUACAGAUGAAGUAGGCGGAAUUGACGGUGUAGCGGUGAAAUGCAUAGAUAUCGUCAAGAACACCGAUAGCGAAAGGCAGCUUACUAAGCUGUAACUGACGCUGAGGCACGAAAGUGUGGGGGAUCAAACAGG